rnacentral:rRNA from 1 species
CAUGGAGGGUGAGAAUCCCGUUCGGUUGAUCAUUUGCGUUUUACGAUACGCUCUCUAAGAGUCAAGUUGUUUGGGAUUGCAGCUUAAAAUGGGAGGUAAAUUUCUCCUAAGGCUAAAUAACGGCGAGAGACCGAUAGUGAACAAGUACCGUGAGGGAAAGAUGAAAAGAACUUUGAAAAGAGAGUUAAACAGUACGUGAAAUUGUUGAAAGGGAAACGAUUGAAGCCAGUCGUACCUUCGGGUAAUCAGCCUUUUGGGUGUGAUUUUGUGGAGCGUGAAGAGUUAAACGCCUUCAUGCCUGCAUAUUCGUGCACUUUGGGUGUACUUGCCCGUAUGGUUGGUUAACAUCAAUUUUGGUGGUCAUAAAAUGACUGGAGGAAUGUAGCUUCGAUCUUGUAUUGAAGUGUUAUAGCCUUCGGUAGAUGUGAUGAUCGAGAUUGAGGAUUGCAACGGAUACCCUUCGGGGCUACCUGUCUGGUCUCUGAUCGUUGCUCUGGUGCCGAAAGCUUGCUUACGGUUAUCAAAGUCGAUGGUCAAUAGGUUAGAACGGGUUAAAUUCGUUAAGGAUGUUGACGUAAUGG